rnacentral:lncRNA from 1 species
AAAUCUAUUGGCUCUUGAAUACCUGGGAAGUUCAAGGAUCCAAGGCAUGACUGGAGAGGAGAAAUCUGUCUUGGUGUUGGAGUGUCUUGGAAUUCGUGACAAGGACAAAAGUACACCAAGUAAACUAGUAAAAGAAAAGGUAAGAAGGUCCAAUCCAAAAUCCAAAGAAGUCCAUUUACUUUUCUUCUGUCCUUCAUUUUUCCCUCCUUCCCUCCCUUCCUUCUUUCCUUUCUUCCUUCUUUCUUUUAAGCACAAGCAAUAUGUGACUAUUUUGUCAUAUUCAAAUGAUAUUUUUACAAACAAAAGAGCCAAAUUUGAUAAUAUGCUGAGGUUAUGUGCCAUACAAAAACAUAAUCUUUGACGGUCAGGAUUGAAUUUGCAUUGUUAAUUGCAAUGAUUUUCUACAUCAACUACACCAAAACACCUAAGUGAAAAAUCCACUUGACUCUCUUGGUAAUAUCACAACCAACAGCCAAACAGUUUCAUAAUUAAAUGCACCUUAAAAAUUAUUUCAUGGGCAUAUUAUAGACAUUACCCUUGUGAACUUCAAUUGGAGUUGUUUGUC